CAUAUGGGAAGAAUAAAUUUAACUUUGUAAACAUUGUCAAAUUGUUUACCAAAGUAAACUGCAGUUGCUCUGUCUCAUCAACAUGUAGGUUAUCAGUCUUUUUAAUUUUAAUUUAACACUAUGGUUAAGUGUUGUGCUAUCUCACUGUGGUUUUAAGUUGCAUUUUCCUGAUGAUUAAUGUUGUUGAGCUUCUUUACAUAUACUUAUUGGUCAUUUAUAUAUCAUCUUUAAUGAAGUUUUUGUACAAAUCUUUUGCCUGUUUUAUAUGUAUAUAUUCUCUUCCCCAGAUACUUGCUUCUAGUUAAGAGAUUUUGUGUCAGGGCUCAUAAGGGAUAUUGAUAUAUCAUUUUUUCUUAUGUCUAUGUCUGCUUCUGGUAUUGGACUAAUGGAGGCCUCAUAAAGAGAGUUGGGAAGUUUACAUCCUCCUUUAUUGUCAUAAAUAAUCUGUGUAGGAUUGUUUUCUUAAUUGUUUGAUAGAAUUUAUGUUUUUUUGGCUUCAAGUUUUUAAUUAUAAAUUCAAUUUAAAAACAAAUCUUUUAAAACUUUUUGUUUUCUUGAGUCUAUUUUGGCAUUUUUUUCUCUCAAGAAAUUGCGUCUGAAUUCUUAGUCAUAUUUAUUGGCAUGAAGUUCAUAACAUUUCUCAGAUUAUCUUUUAAAUACCUCUAGGAUCUGUAUGAUAAUACCACUUUUAUUACUGAUUUUGUUAAUUUAUGGUCCUUUUUUCUUUUUCUCUUGAUAAUUCUGUCAGAGCUAUAUCAAUUUUAUUUUAUUUUUUUGCUUUUUAGGGACGUAUGUGUGGCAUAUGGAAGUUCCCAAGCUAGGGGUCGAAUCAGAGCUAUAGUUGCUGGCCUACACCACAGCCAUGGCAACACAGGAUCCAUGCCAUAUCUGUGACCUACACCACAGCUCACUGCAACACCGGAUCCCCAACCCACUGAGCAAGGCAAGGGAUCAAACCUACAUCCUCAUGUAUACAAGUCAGACUUGUUUCCUCUGUGCCACAGUGGGAACUCCAAGAUACAUCAAUUUUAUUGAUAUUUUCAAAAUAUUAGCUUUUGCCUUCACUGGUAUACUCUAUUGAUUUUUUGUAUUAUAUUAUGCUUCCAGCUUUAUUAUUCUCCUCUUUACUUUCUUGAGUUUUAUUUCCUUUUUGUUUUCUAGUUUCUGAAGUUAAUGCUGAUUUUAGACCUUUAUUUUUUUUGUUUGGGGCCACAGGCACAACAUGGGCAAGUUCCUAGACCAGGGAUCAAAUCCAUGUAAUAGCAGCAACCCAAGCCAUAGCAGUGACACCACACCAGAUAUGUAACCUACUGAGCCACCAGGGAACUCCGCCUUUUUUCCUUUUUAAUAGAAGCAUCUAGAGCUAUAAAUUUCACUCUAAUCACAGCUUUAACGAUAUAUGGAAUACAUUUUUAUUCAUUACAAAACAUUUUCUGUUUUCUCUUGUACUUUGCCUUUGACCAUAAGUUAUUUAUGUUUUUUUGAAAUGUCCUUUGUUUCAUAGUACUUACAGAUAGCUUUCUCCUAUGAUUUCUAAAUGAGUGAUGUUGUUUUAAUCUUUUAAAAUUUAUUGAGAAUUGUUUUUUUGGCCCAGCAUAUGCUCCAUCUUGAUGAUUACUCCGUGUGUACUUGAUUAGAAUAUAUAUUCUGCUGUUGUUAGGUAGAAUAUUCUAUAAAUGUCAGUUCAGGUUGGUUAAUGUGUUGUGUUCACUGUUCUAUAUCUUUACUGAUCUUGUUGUCUUCUGUCAAUUAAAGCGAUGAAAUGUCUAUAAUUGUGCAUUUGUCCUUUUGGGUCAUAUAUUUCUGUUUCAUGUAUUAAAAAUUCUGUUACUAGGUGCAUCUUAUAUCUUCUAAUGAAGUGAUAGUUUAUUAUAAUGUCUCCUUUUGUCAGUGGUAACAUUCCUGAUGUUAAUAUUGCCACUCCAACUUUAUGAUUAGUGUUUCCAUCAUAUAUAAUUUCUCUUCCUUUUAUUCUUUUUUAAUUUUUAUUUUAUAUUGAGGUAUAAUUGAUUUACAGUUUUUAGUUUCAUGUAUACAGCAAAGUGAUUCAUUAAUACAUAUACAUGUGUUCAAUCUUUUUCAGAUACUUUUCCCACAUAGGUUAUUACAGAAUAUUGAGUAGAGGUCCCUGUGCUAUACAGCAGGUCCUUGUUUAUUAACUGUUUUAUAUAUAGUAGUGUGUAUAUAUUAAUCCCAAACUCAUAAUUUAUCCUCCUCUUUCCCCUUUCCCUUUGGUAACCAUAAGUUUGUUUUCUAAAUCUGCAAAUCUAUUUCCAUUUUGUAAAUAAACUCAUUUGUAUCAUUUUUUUUGGAUUCCACAUAUAAGUGAUCUCAUAUUUAUCCUUCUCUGUCUGACUUAAUUUACUUAGUAUGGUAAUCUACAGGUCCAUAUAUGAUGCUGUAAAUGGCAUUAUUUCAUUCAUUUUUAUGGCUAAUAUUCUGAUAUAUAUAUACCACAUCUUUAUCCAUUCCUCUGUCGAUGGACAUUUAGUUUGCUUCCACAUCUUGGCUAUUCUAAAUAGUGCUUCAAGGGACCUCAGGGUGUAUGCAUAUUUUGAAAUUAUGGUUUUCUCCAGACAUAUGCCCAGGAGUGGGAUUGCUGGAUCAUACGGUAGUUCUAUUUUUAGUUUUUUAAGGAACCUCCAUACUGUUCUUCAUAAUGGCUAUGACAAUUGACAGCCCCACCAACAGUGUAGGAGGGUUCCAUUUUCUCCACACCAUCUCCAGCAUUUAUUGUUUAUAUCAUUUUUGAUGAUGGCCAUUCUGACUAUGUGAGGUGAUAGCUCAUUGUAGUUUUGAUUUGCAUUUAUCUAAUAAUUAGGAAUUUUGAGUAUCUUUUCAUGUGUUUCGUGGCCACGCAUAUGUCUUCUUUGGAGAAAUGUCUGUUUAGAUCUGCCCAUUUGUUGAUUGGGGUUUUUUGUUUUGUUUUUUUAAUAUUGAGCUGCAUGAGCUGUUUGUAUGUUUUGGACAUUAACCCCUUGUCAGUUGCUUCAUUUAUAAAUAUUUUCUCACAUUCAUUGGGUUGUCUUUUAGUUGUGUUUAUGGUUUCUUUUCGCUGUGCAAAAUGUUUUAAGUUUAAUUAGGUCACAUUUACUUAGUUUUGUUUUAAUUUUCAUUAAUCUAGGAGGUGGAUCAAAAAAGAUAUUUCUGCAGUUUAUACCAAAGAGUAUUCUGCCUGUGUUUUCCUCUAAGAGUUUUAUAGUAUGUGAUCUUACAUGUAAUCCAUUUUGAGUUUAUUUUUUGUGUAUGGUGUUAGAGAAAGUUCUAAUUUCAUUCUUAUACACAUAGCUGUCCAGUUUUCCCAGCAACACUUACUUAAGAGACUUAUUUCCUCCAUUGUAUAUUCCUGCUUGCUUUAUCAGAGAUUAAUUUGCCAUAGGUGUGUGGGUUUAUUUCUGGGAUUUCUAUCCUAUUUAAUUGGUCUAUAUUUCUGUUUUGUGCCAAUACCAUAUUGUUUUAAUAGAUGCAGAAAAAGCUUUUGACAAAAUCCAACAACCAUUCCUGAUAAAAACCCUCCAGAAAGUGGGGAUAGAGAAAACCUACCUCAACUUAAUAAAGGCCAUAUAUGGCAAACUAACAGCUACCAUCCUACUCAAUGGUGAAAAACUGGAAGUAUUUCUGCUAAGAUCAGGAACAAGACAAUGAUGUCCACUCUCACCACUUUUAUUCAACAUACUUUUGGAGGUCCUAGCUAUGACAAUUAGAGAAGAAAAUAAACUAAAAGGAAUCCAAAUUGGAAAAGAGGUAGGCGGAGGAUCAAGAUUUGAGGAGUAAGACGUCGUGCUCACCUUCUCCCACAAACACAUCAAAAAAACACAUCUACAUGUAGAACGAUUUGCACAUCUACUGAGAACUGGCAAAAGAACUUAAACCUCCAAAAAGAACAAGAAACCCCUCAACAUAACUGGGUAGAACAAAAGAAAGAGAGAGAAAAGAAAACAGGACAGGGCUAGCACUCAUGAGAGGGAGCUGUGAAAGAGAAAAGGAACCAACACCUUGGGAAGCCACCUAACUGAGGGGAGAUUAGCCUAGAAGGAUGUCCUCAAAGUUGCCGAGAAAAGUGCAGUACCUGGAAUGAGGAAGGCAAAGCAAAGUGAAAGCCACACACAUUAUCUGCACCACCAACAUGGACACCACAGCCUGAGACACUUGGGUGGCAGCUGGGUGCUGAGACUCAGGCUCUGGAAAAACACUACAGGCCAGAAGAGAGGCAAGAUAUAUUUAAAGUUCUAAAAGGGAAAAAUGUGCAGCCUAGAAUACUCUAUCCAGCAGGAAUAUCAUUUAAAAUAGAAGGAGAAAUAAAGAAUUUCUCCAGCAAACAAAAGCUAAAAGAGUACAGCAAUACUAAACCCAUUCUAAAAAAAAUACUGAAAGGGCUUCUCUAAAUAAAAAAUAAGUAAGAAGAAAUAGGAUGGCAGAAAUCACAAUUGGAAAGCAAUCACUAAAAUAA
rnacentral:lncRNA from 1 species